GAUGAACGCUGGCGGCGUGCCUAAUACAUGCAAGUCGAGCGAACAGACGAGGAGCUUGCUCCUCUGACGUUAGCGGCGGACGGGUGAGUAACACGUGGAUAACCUACCUAUAAGACUGGGAUAACUUCGGGAAACCGGAGCUAAUACCGGAUAAUAUAUUGAACCGCAUGGUUCAAUAGUGAAAGACGGUUUUGCUGUCACUUAUAGAUGGAUCCGCGCCGCAUUAGCUAGUUGGUAAGGUAACGGCUUACCAAGGCGACGAUGCGUAGCCGACCUGAGAGGGUGAUAGGCCACACUGGAACUGAGACACGGUCCAGAGUCCUACGGGAGGCAGCAGUAGGGAAUCUUCCGCAAUGGGCGAAAGCCUGACGGAGCAACGCCGCGUGAGUGAUGAAGGUCUUCGGAUCGUAAAACUCUGUUAUUAGGGAAGAACAAAUGUGUAAGUAACUAUGCACGUCUUGACGGUACCUAAUCAGAAAGCCACGGCUAACUACGUG
rnacentral:rRNA from 1 species